rnacentral:lncRNA from 1 species
UUCUCUCUUUCGUUUUUAAGUUACAGUUAUGAGUCCUACUUUUAAUAAUACUAAGCACUUAGAACGCAUUUGGUUCAAAGUCGAAAUCAGAAUUAGAAUUGAAAUCGAAAUAAGCUGGAAUCAGAAUGACUUAUUAUUUAAUUCUGUUUGGUUCGUUACCUGAAUUAGAAUCGGAAUAAAUCAUUUUUAUUGUCGGUGUUUGAUUCAGGUAGAUGUAAAAAACAUAAUCAAAUUAAUAUAUUAACUUAAUAUUCAUAAUAUAUUAAUUUAAAUUCAAAUUGAAAAUUAAAUAGUAAAAAUUUACAUCAAAAUUUCGAAAUAAU